AGUGAACGCUGGCGGUAGGCCUAACACAUGCAAGUCGAACGGCAGCACAGUAAGAGCUUGCUCUUACGGGUGGCGAGUGGCGGACGGGUGAGGAAUACAUCGGAAUCUACUUUUUCGUGGGGGAUAACGUAGGGAAACUUACGCUAAUACCGCAUACGACCUACGGGUGAAAGCAGGGGAUCUUCGGACCUUGCGCGAUUGAAUGAGCCGAUGUCGGCUUAGCUAGUUGGCGGGGUAAGGGCCCACCAAGGCGACGAUCCGUAGCUGGUCUGAGAGGAUGAUCAGCCACACUGGAACUGAGACACGGUCCAGACUCCUACGGGAGGCAGCAGUGGGGAAUAUUGGACAAUGGGCGCAAGCCUGAUCCAGCCAUACCGCGUGGGUGAAGAAGGCCUUCGGGUUGUAAAGCCCUUUUGUUGGGAAAGAAAAGCAGCAGGUUAAUACCCCGCUGUUCUGACGGUACCCAAAGAAUAAGCACCGGCUAACUUCGUG
rnacentral:rRNA from 1 species